GCAGUCGUGGCCGAGUGGUUAAGGCGAUGGACUCGAAAUCCAUUGGGGUCUCCCCGCACAGGUUCGAAUCCUGUCGAUUGCG
rnacentral:tRNA from 1 species